rnacentral:rRNA from 1 species
AUGCAUCCGCCAGUUGCAAGAAUCAAACAAGUCAAGACAACAACCAAAAGAGGAUGAGAUAUAUGGGUCAUCAGGAUCCAAAUAAGCACCAUGCGUGAUAUGCCUACCUCGGGAGUAGAGGAACAUCACGGAGGAAAUAAAAAAGGGACAAUAGAGAGAUAAACAGAGAGGGGAUGUUGGAACCUCGCUGGCACACGCUACCUCCACUCGAGUUCGACAUAGAGAUGGACGACAACGGCUUCCCAGGCAAGGUGGGCCAAGGAAACUGCGUGCCCCACGCUACGAAUGAACAUGCUAUUCUCUCGGUCGUCCUGCUCCCGACGGCAGGCGAGGCAGGAGGCGGCGGAUCUGGCUGCUCCUCCAGCAUGGAUCCGGCGGUGGCGGACGGAAUCAAGGCGGAGGAGAACAAAGCCGACGGAGAGGUGGUCGGAGGCGGCGAGCUCCAAGGCGGGGUGGCGGCUGGCUGGCCUGCUGGAGGCGGCUCGGGGCAGAGGAGCGCUCCUCUCCCGGCGCCGUCGGAGGUGGCAACGAGGCAGCACGGGGCGGCUGCUCCCAACGAGGUGAAGAGAAAAGGGGAUUUUGCUUUGAGUAUAGAGAAAGGGAAAAAGAAACGGGAUAAGAACAAGUGUGGAGCCUGCGUCCUUGGAGAUAAGAUAGAUCGAGCCGCCAUGUACAGUAGUUGUGCAUUCCCUCAAAGAAAAAGAAAUAGACUGUGUAGUGCGUAGCUAUGGCAUGUGGUGCAUAGGCAGCACAGAUGAC